rnacentral:rRNA from 1 species
CACGUAGGGUGCGAGCGUUGUCCGGAAUUAUUGGGCGUAAAGAGCUCGUAGGCGGUGUGUCGCGUCGGCCGUGAAAACCUGCAGCUUAACUGUGGGCUUGCGGUCGAUACGGGCAUCACUGGAGUUCGGCAGGGGAGACUGGAAUUCCCGGUGUAGUGGUGGAAUGCGUAGAUAUCGGGAGGAACACCAGUGGCGAAGGCGGCUCUCUGGACCGGUGCUGACGCUCAGGCGCGAAAGCGUGGGGAGCGAGCCGG